rnacentral:rRNA from 1 species
CCUACGGGAGGCAGCAGUGAGGAAUAUUGGUCAAUGGGCGAGAGCCUGAACCAGCCAAGUCGCGUGAGGGAUGACGGUCCUAUGGAUUGUAAACCUCUUUUAUAAGGGAAUAAAACGCGGCACGUGUGCCGUUUUGAAUGUACCUUAUGAAUAAGGAUCGGCUAACUCCGUGCCAGCAGCCGCGGUAAUACGGAGGAUCCGAGCGUUAUCCGGAUUUAUUGGGUUUAAAGGGUGCGUAGGUGGGUUGUUAAGUCAGGGGUGAAAGUUUGGGGCUCAACCGUAAAAUUGCCGUUGAUACUGGUAGUCUUGAGUAAAGUUGAGGUAGGCGGAAUGCGUGGUGUAGCGGUGAAAUGCUUAGAUAUCACGCAGAACCCCGAUUGCGAAGGCAGCUUACCAACCCGUGACUGACACUGAUGCACGAAAGUGUGGGUAUCAAACAGGAUUAGAUACCCUAGUAGUC